UCCUGGCUGGCUCAGUCAGUAGAGCAUGUGACACUUGAUCUCAAGGUUGUGAGUUCAAACCCCAUGUUGGGUA
rnacentral:tRNA from 1 species